GUGCCUACAACAAGUUCGAGCCCGUUAAUGGGUGAGAGCGUGCCUUUUGUAGAAUGAACCGGCGAGUUACGAUAUGAUGCGAGGUUAAGUUGAAGAGACGGAGCCGUAGGGAAACCGAGUCUUAAUAGGGCGCAUUAGUAUCAUGUCGUAGACCCGAAACCAUGUGACCUACCCAUGAGCAGGUUGAAGGUGAGGUAAAACUCACUGGAGGACCGAACCAGGGCACGUUGAAAAGUGCUUGGAUGACUUGUGGGUAGCGGAGAAAUUCCAAACGAACUUGGAG
rnacentral:rRNA from 1 species